CCAAUAGCGUAUAUUAAAGUUGCUGCAGUUAAAAAGCUCGUAGUUGAAUUUCGGGACCAAUAUGUCGGUCGUGCCUCGGUACGUACUGGCAUCGUUGGUUUCUCCCUUCUGACGAACCAUGAUGUCAUUUAUUUGGUGUCGUGGGGAAUCAGGACUGUUACUUUGAAAAAAUUAGAGUGUUUAAAGCAGGCUCACGCUUGAAUACAUUAGCAUGGAAUAAUGAAAUAGGACGUUUGAUUCUAUUUUGUUGGUUUCUAGGAUCGACGUAAUGAUUAAUAGGGAUAGUUGGGGGCAUUAGUAUUCAAUUGUCAGAGGUGAAAUUCUUGGAUUUAUUGAAGACUAACUACUGCGAAAGCAUUUGCCAAGGAUGUUUUCAUUAAUCAAGAACGAAAGUUAGGGGAUCGAAGACGAUCAGAUACCGUCGUAGUCUUAACCAUAAACUAUGCCGACUAGGGAUCGGAUGAUGUUAAUUUUUUAAUGACUCAUUCGGCGCCUUACG
rnacentral:rRNA from 1 species